UACGAAGGGGGCUAGCGUUGCUCGGAAUUACUGGGCGUAAAGGGCGUGUAGGCGGGUAGAUAAGUCGGGCGUGAAAUCCCUAGGCUCAACCUAGGAACUGCACUCGAAACUGUUUAUCUUGAGUGCCGGAGAGGAAAGCGGAAUUCCUGGUGUAGAGGUGAAAUUCGUAGAUAUCAGGAGGAACACCAGUGGCGAAGGCGGCUUUCUGGACGGUAACUGACGCUGAGACGCGAAAGCGUGGGGAGCAAACAGG
rnacentral:rRNA from 1 species